rnacentral:rRNA from 1 species
AUUGAACGCUGGCGGCAGGCCUAACACAUGCAAGUCGAACGAGUGGCGGACGGGUGAGUAAUGUCUGGGAAACUGCACGAUGGAGGGGGGUAACUACUGGAAACGGUAGCUAAUACCGCAUACCAUCGGAUGUGCCCAGAUGGGAUUAGCUAGUAGGUGGGGUAACGGCUCACCUAGGCGACGAUCCCUAGGUGGUCUGAGAGGAGGCCCAUGCACACUGGAACUGAGACACUGUCCAGACGCCUACGGGAGUCAGCAGUGGGGAAUAUUGCACGAUGGGCGCGAGCCUGAUGCAGCCAUGCCGCGUGUAUGAAGAAGGCCUUCGGGUUGUAGAGUACUUUCAGCGGGGAGGCGUUACUCGCAGAAGAAGCACCGGCUAACUCCGUGCCAGCAGCCGCGGUAAUAC